rnacentral:rRNA from 1 species
AUGCAGUCACUGGUAUCUCUUGAUCUCUCUCAGAAUAAGCUUUCUGGUGAAAUCCCAUCGGGCAUGUCAAAUCUGACAUCUCUGAGCUACCUAAACCUGUCCUACAACAGUUUGUCUGGAAGGAUACCCUCUGGCCGCCAACUUGACACCCUCAAUUCGGAGAACCCUUCACUUAUGUACAUCGGCAACAGUGGACUUUGUGGGCCUCCUGUCCACAAGAAUUGUUCAGGAAAUGAUCCUUCCAUCCAUGGGGAUCUCGAAAGCAGCAAGCAAGAAUUUGAGCCACUGACCUUUUAUUUUGGGCUUGUGCUGGGAUUUGUGGUGGGGCUAUGGAUGGUGUUUUGUGCACUGCUGUUCAAGAAGACAUGGAGAAUUGCUUAUUUCUGGCUUUUCGACGAGGUGUAUAAUCGGGUCUAUGUAUUUGAAGUUGUGAAGUGGGCAAGCUUCACAAAGAACACAGAUAUAGAAUAA